AUGGACGGCCAUAGGGCCGGGGUUCAUCCGUUCCCAUUUCGAACACGGCAAUUAAGACUGGCUCCGUACCGGUGUGUACUGCAUUGCGCGGGAAAUCUGGUAAGCUGUCCACU
rnacentral:rRNA from 1 species